rnacentral:lncRNA from 1 species
UAUUCCAGAGGAGCAAGCAAUAGCCAUGGGUAGCGUUCUGGAGAAUGACGAUGAUUCACUUUUUGAUUUUCAAGAUGUCGAAUACUUAUUAGAUGCGUCAAUUGAUAGACCACCGACAGAGCCUACUCCAAGCUGUUCAUCAGGAACCCCGGGGCAGACUUGCAAAAAAAUGCGUGUG